rnacentral:rRNA from 1 species
CAUUUCCUAUGGGGGGCAGCAGUGGGGAAUAUUGCACAAUGGGGAAAACCCUGAUGCAGCAACGCCGCGUGAGUGAAGAAGUAUUUCGGUAUGUAAAGCUCUAUCAGCAGGGAAGAAAAUGACGGUACCUGAGUAAGAGGCCCCGGCUAACUACGUGCCAGCAGCCGCGGUAAUACGUAGGGGGCAAGCGUUAUCCGGGUUUACUGGGUGUAAAGGGAGCGUAGACGGCGAUGCAAGUCUGAAGUGAAAGCCCGGGGCUCAACCCCGGGACUGCUUUGGAAACUGUAUGGCUGGAGUGCUGGAGG